ensembl:snRNA U6 U6 spliceosomal RNA
GUGCUCACUUCAGCAGCACAUGUACUAAAAUUGGAACGAGAAGAUUAGCAUGGCCCCUGUGCAAGGAUGACAUGCAAAUUCGUGAAGUGUUCCAUAUUAAA